rnacentral:lncRNA from 1 species
AUGGAGCUGCCCGCUGGGGGCCUCCUGGCCACUAGUCAUUCCACUGUUAGCCACUCCUGUCUGUCUGGGCCGUUGUUUCAGCCUCCCACCUGAGUUUGCGCAUGAACACACUGAAAUUGCCACCAAUAAGAAACAAAGACCAGUUGAGUUUUAUUGAGGGCCAGGGUGAGAGAUGGAGCGGCUACAAGCCUAUCUAGGUCUUCUGAGACCUUGGGUCCCCUAUUCCUGGUCCUUAGCAUCACCAUGUGUGAUGACGUAGCAGAUGUUCUUGUAGUCCACGUUGCCGCCCACGUCUGGGGGGAAGGCUGCCCACAUGUUCUUGAUCUGUAGGAAGACAGGAGUAGCUCUAGGACCGGUUCCCCCACUGCUUCCCUCUCUCCCACUUCCCUCCACUCGGAGUCCUCUUCCUUCCCGGGCUCUCCCCAACUCACCUCCUCCUGGGAAAAUCGGUCGCACUGCGUGGUAAGCAGCUCCUCCAAGCUGAGAAGGACAUUCGGGGAGGUGAGAUUGGAUUCAUGAGUACGGUCCCCUCUCAUUUCAUUCCUGUUCCCACCAACCGUUCCUGAAACAUGUCUGGCGCAUCUCCCAAGUACUGUCUAGAAUUUCUUCCCUUAGUUAUUAUAAAAAUGUCACCCAG